AGAGUUUGAUCAUGGCUCAGAAUCAACGCUGGCGGCGCGCCUAACACAUGCAAGUCGAACGAGAAAGUGGAGCAAUCCAUGAGUAGAGUGGCGUACGGGUGAGUAACACGUGGGUAAUCUACCUCCUAGUGGGGAAUAACCCUGGGAAACCGGGGCUAAUACCGCAUAAUCCCGAGAGGGGAAACGCGAAAGCGGCUGAGAGAGGAGCCCGCGGCCGAUUAGCUAGUUGGCAGGGUAAAAGCCUACCAAGGCAAAGAUCGGUAGCCGGCCUGAGAGGGCACACGGCCACACUGGCACUGAAACACGGGCCAGACUCCUACGGGAAGCAGCAGUGGGGAAUCUUGCACAAUGGGGGAAACCCUGAUGCAGCGACGCCGCGUGAGCGAUGAAGCCCUUCGGGGUGUAAAGCUCUUUCGGCAGGGAAGAUGAUGACGGUACCUGCAGAAGCAGCUGCGGCUAACUACGUGCCAGCAGCCGCGGUAAUACGUAGGCAGCAAGCGUUGUUCGGAGUUACUGGGCGUAAAGGGUGUGUAGGCGGUUUGGUAAGUCUGGUGUGAAAUCUCCCGGCUCAACUGGGAGGGUGCGCCGGAAACUGCCGGACUCGAGUGCGGGAGAGGAGAGUGGAAUUCCUGGUGUAGCGGUGAAAUGCGUAGAUAUCAGGAGGAACACCGGUGGUGUAGGCGGCUCUCUGGACCGUAACUGACGCUGAAACACGAAAGCGUGGGGAGCAAACAGGAUUAGAUACCCUGGUAGUCCACGCCCUAAACGAUGCAUAUUUGGUGUGGGUCAUUCAGUUGAUCCGUGCCGGAGCUAACGCGUUAAAUAUGCCGCCUGGGGAGUACAGUCGCAAGGCUGAAACUCAAAGGAAUUGACGGGGGCCCGCACAAGCGGUGGAGCAU
rnacentral:rRNA from 1 species